UACGUAGGGAGCGAGCGUUGUCCGGAUUUACUGGGUGUAAAGGGUGCGCAGGCGGCUCUGCAAGUCAGGCGUGAAAGCUAGGGGCUCAACCCCUAAACUGCGCUUGAAACUGUGGAGCUUGAGUGAAGUAGAGGAGAGUGGAACUCCAUGUGUAGCGGUGAAAUGCGUAGAUAUAUGGAAGAACACCAGUGGCGAAAGCGGCUCUCUGGUCUGUAACUGACGCUGAGGUUCGAAAGCGUGGGUAGCAAACAGG
rnacentral:rRNA from 1 species